AAUUUUGCGCAAUGGGCGAAAGCCUGACGCAGCAACGCCGCGUGAAUGACGAAGCCCUUCGGGGUGUAAAGUUCUGUCAGUAGGGACGAAUUUUGACGGUACCUACAGAGGAAGCACCGGCUAACUCCGUGCCAGCAGCCGCGGUAAUACGGAGGGUGCAAGCGUUGUCCGGAAUCAUUGGGCGUAAAGAGUUCGUAGGCGGUUUGUUAAGUUUGGUGUUAAAGCCCGAGGCUCAACCUCGGUUCGGCACUGGAUACUGGCAAACUUGAAUAUGGUAGAGGUAAAGGGAAUUCCUGGUGUAGCGGUGAAAUGCGUAGAUAUCAGGAGGAACACCGGUGGCGUAAGCGCUUUACUGGGCCAUUAUUGACGCUGAGGAACGAAAGCCGGGGUAGCAAAUGGGAUUAGAUACCCCAGUAGUCCCGGCCGUA
rnacentral:rRNA from 1 species